UUUAUAUAGUAAAUAGUCAAUUCUCUAUCUGACAGGGCUGUAGACUCUUACGCCAUGUCACAAAUCCAUACUACAUACUGAUUAUCUGAAGGUUUCCAUCUGUUCACACUAGAAAAGUGACAAAAUAAAGUUUACCCAAAGUAUGCAGACUAAAUAUAGUGUUACAUUUUUUAGUUUUCUGCUAAUGCACCGAGGAUAUGAAGAAAAAACAGUUUCAAUCUUAAGGAAAACGUUUAAUUUUAAAUAGCUUUCCAAAGUCGCAGUUUCAUUGACAACCAACGUCACCCAUAUUGUAUCAUUCAAGUGGUAAAGCAUGUUGAUAUUUGUAUAUGCUAACUGCUAAUAUACUAUGACCAUUAGUAUGUAAUGCAUAUUGUAUAGGAUUAGUAUGGACUGGUAAUUGGACAAAAAACAAAGACAUCACCUUGAUCAUAAGGUAAUCAGUAAUAAAAUGAUUGCUAUUUGAAGCCCUAUGAAACACUCCUCAAAGUAAAAGAAAAAAAGCAUCUUUUCCCAAUUAUAAGCACUGAUGAGCGAGUCAUAAAAUGUUACUGUUGUGCUCACAGGAGUAAAGGUAGUUUAGUACUUUCAAAUGUUAUAGUUUUUAACUUUCACAGUGUUAUUUUUAUAGACCGUUAUCCUUUACGCAGCAUAACCCCGACCGCUACCACCGUCUACCAUCUCCCAGCUGGCUAAUAACAAUUCCCAGACAUUGCAUUACUCUGUGAGACGGCCGCGGCCGAUAGUGGUUAUGGUGGUACGGUAACAAUGGCAGCUCCCCCUGGUGUCAUCCCCUUAGCGUCUCUGAUGCAUGGCCAUCCUUAUUGUGCUGCAGAUUGAGGUGAAAUGAUUGAGGAUAAAGCCGUGAAAAGGGGGCUGUAGUGAUGGGCUUCAGUGUCCAUUGAAGUGAGGGAAUAAUCUAUCCGAGGGUGUGUUAGCGCUGACCAUCAUUUAAGUGGCUUGAAAGGGUCAGCGUGGGGACCGAGAUGUGGGAGCGAUCGGGACGGCCAUUACAGUCAUUCCGCUUCACUGUGCGAGGUACCGCCGCCUGAUUGAUGCCUGAGAGAGGAUUUGACUCUACUGUGGUCUACAGGAGAGGAUGUGGAGAAGCACAUAUUUCCACAGUCAGCCCAUCAGCUCCUUUAAGCUCUCUAUCACCGCACUUGUUCAUGACUGCUGACUCUCACACAACUACUCUCUCUUCAUCUUUACCCAAAACAGACUCAGACCAAGAAAUCAAUGGGACAAAGAGCCGUUCCGCCCAACAGAAGAAGCUGAUGUAAUUAAAUCCAUCUGCAGAGUAAGAGAAAAUAACGGAUAGGAAAGCUUGUGAAGUGCAGGGGAAGUCCCUGGAGGUAUAAUUAACAGUAUCUACUGUUAGUAUCUGUGCUUCUUCUUCCCUCGACGCUCACUACAGUACAGACUGACGCAGAGGCAAAGCCCCAGAACACUUUCUGCCAGAGGGUUUGCUUCGAGAGACUCUCCUGUUGUAUGGAGUGUGGAUUAAACGGCAACAUACAGAGCCAAUAAGAAACAUUGAAUCAAAGGAGAUUUAAUGUGGCUUUUUUUUUCUGAUCAUUGACCCCUUUAAUAAAAUCCAAUGGAAAAGUC